rnacentral:rRNA from 1 species
UACGGGGAUGGCGAGCGUUACUCGGAUUUAUUGGGUGUAAAGGGCAGGUAGGCGGCUAUGUAAGUUGAAGGUGAAAUCCUUUGGCUCAACCAAAGAACUGCCUUCAAAACUGCACAGCUUGAGGCUAGAAGAGGAAAGCGGAAUUCCCGGUGUAAGGGUGAAAUCUGUAGAUAUCGGGAGGAACACCUGUGGCGAAAGCGGCUUUCUGGUCUAGCCCUGACGCUAAUCUGCGAAAGCUAGGGGAGCAAACAGG